UACAGAGGGUGCGAGCGUUAAUCGGAAUUACUGGGCGUAAAGCGCACGUAGGCGGCUUGGUAUGUCGGGUGUGAAAUCCCCGGGCUCAACCUGGGAACUGCAUCCGAAACUGCCUUGCUAGAGUAUGGGAGAGGGAAGUGGAAUUUCCGGUGUAGCGGUGAAAUGCGCAGAUAUCAGGAGGAACACCGGCGGCGAAGGCGGCACUCUGGGCCGGUACUGACGCUGAGGAGCGAAAGCGUGGGUAGCAAACAGG
rnacentral:rRNA from 1 species